rnacentral:rRNA from 1 species
AGUCGAGCGCGAAAGCACUUCGGUGUGAGUAGAGCGGCGGACGGGUGAGUAACGCGUAAGAAUCUACCUAGUAGUGGGGGACAACUCGAGGAAACUCGAGCUAAUACCGCAUACGCCCUACGGGGGAAAGCGGGGGACCUUCGGGCCUCGCGCUAUUAGAUGAGCUUGCGUUGGAUUAGCUUGUUGGUGAGGUAAUGGCUCACCAAGGCUACGAUCCAUAGCUGGUCUGAGAGGAUGAUCAGCCACACCGGGACUGAGACACGGCCCGGACUCCUACGGGAGGCAGCAGUGGGGAAUAUUGCGCAAUGGGCGGAAGCCUGACGCAGCCAUGCCGCGUGUGUGAAGAAGGCCUUAGGGUUGUAAAGCACUUUCAAUUGGGAGGAAAAGUUAACGACUAAUACUCGUUAGCCUUGACGUUACCUUUAGAAGAAGCACCGGCUAACUCCGUGCCAGCAGCCGCGGUAAUACGGAGGGUGCAAGCGUUAAUCGGAAUUACUGGGCGUAAAGCGCGCGUAGGCGGCUUUUUAAGUCGGAUGUGAAAGCCCCGGGCUCAACCUGGGAACUGCAUCCGAUACUGGAA